rnacentral:rRNA from 1 species
UACGUAGGGUGCGAGCGCUAAUCGGAAUUACUGGGCGUAAAGUGUGCGCAGGUGGCCGCGCAAGUCGAGUGUGAAAGCCCUCGGCUCAACCGAGGAAGUGCGCCCGAAACUGCAGAGCUUGAGUGCCGGAGAGGAUGGCGGAAUUCCCCAAGUAGAGGUGAAAUUCGUAGAUAUGGGGAGGAACACCGGUGGCGAAGGCGGCCAUCUGGACGGUAACUGACGCUGAGACGCGAAAGCGUGGGGAGCAAACAGG